rnacentral:rRNA from 1 species
GGUAGAGAAUACCAAGGCGCUUGAGAGAACUCGGGUGAAGGAACUAGGCAAAAUGGUGCCGUAACUUCGGGAGAAGGCACGCUGAUAUGUAGGUGAAGCCCCUGCGGGUGGAGCUGAAAUCAGUCGAAGAUACCAGCUGGCUGCAACUGUUUAUUAAAAACACAGCACUGUGCAAACACGAAAGUGGACGUAUACGGUGUGACGCCUGCCCGGUGCCGGAAGGUUAAUUGAUGGGGUUA